UUAGCACAAGACAAAUUGUUAUACGUAAUUGAACUCUGUUAUGAGGCAAAAUAAUGUAGCAUUUUUUCUAAACCUUGUGGUAGUAUUUGGUUUGAUUUAGGAAAUAAAAAAGUGACACAACUUCACCUAAUGAAAUGAAGAUUCUCAUCCAAAUGAAGUGUUCUACGCCUUGAGAGAUCUGAUUAACUCCUCACUUGUGAAAGGAUGUGAUAUACCUUUUCAGGUACCACAUAGCAAGAUCAGUUCACUGAGACAGUACUGCUGGCAAGAAGACUAUUGAAGUUAUACAAAAAUGAGUGCAUGGUGGAUUAUAAAGAAGCGGAAUGAAGCUGAUGAGGUUUAUACUGCAGCAGUUUAUUCCAUAACAGGACCCCGGACAAGUUCUUCGCAUACACAAGCCUCAUCAUCUUUUUCAAUGCUAUGAUCUAUUGCUAUUGUAGCUGUUGAUGGAGAUCAGUGACUGAAUUCUAAGCCAUUGCAUUUACAAGUGACUGGUGGGAAGACAGACUUGUAAAGAUGUAAAUCAGUGUCCUACUGAUGGCACAUUCCAAGAUUAAAUUUUCAAGAAAAAGCAAGGUCAUAUAUUGCAUCUUUGUUUAGAAAACAUAAAAUCAAAACU